UUUUUUAUGAUGGAAAAUAAAAAAGAAAGCUUGAUCAAAGUUGAUGAUUUUUAUGCUAUUUCACCAAAAUCUCGGAAGAA
rnacentral:snoRNA from 1 species